rnacentral:rRNA from 1 species
GAUGAACGCUGGCGGCGUGCCUAAUACAUGCAAGUCGAGCGAACGGACGAGAAGCUUGCUUCUCUGAUGUUAGCGGCGGACGGGUGAGUAACACGUGGAUAACCUACCUAUAAGACUGGGAUAACGUCGGGAAACCGGAGCUAAUACCGGAUAAUAUGUUGAACCGCAUGGUUCAAAAGUGAAAGACGGUCUUGCUGUCACUUAUAGAUGGAUCCGCGCUGCAUUAGCUAGUUGGUAAGGUAACGGCUUACCAAGGCGACGAUGCAUAGCCGACCUGAGAGGGUGAUCGGCCACACUGGAACUGAGACACGGUCCAGACUCCUACGGGAGGCAGCAGUAGGGAAUUUUCCGCAAUGGGCGCAAGCCUGACGGAGCAACGCCGCGUGAGUGAUGAAGGUCUUCGGAUCGUAAAGCUCUGUUAUUAGGGAAGAACAUAUGUGUACGUAACUGUGCACAUCUUGACGGUACCUGAUCAGAAAGCCCCGGCUAACUACGUG